UACGAAGGGGGCUAGCGUUGCUCGGAAUCACUGGGCGUAAAGGGUGCGUAGGCGGGUCUUUAAGUCAGGGGUGAAAUCCUGGAGCUCAACUCCAGAACUGCCUUCGAUACUGAAGAUCUUGAGUUCGGGAGAGGUGAGUGGAACUGCGAGUGUAGAGGUGAAAUUCGUAGAUAUUCGCAAGAACACCGGUGGCGAAGGCGGCGACCUGGUCCGAUACUGACGCUGAGGCGCGAAAGCGUGGGGAGCAAACAGG
rnacentral:rRNA from 1 species